CAGCAUAAUGGAUAGCAAUAUCUAUGGUGGCGACCGGCGCACGGGUGAGUAACACGUAUCCAACCUGCCGUCUACUCUUGGACAGCCUUCUGAAAGGGAGAUUAAUACAAGAUGUUAUCAUGAGUAAGCAUUUUCGCAUGAUUAAAGGUUUACCGGUGUAAGAUGGGGAUGCGUUCCAUUAGGUUGUUGGCGGGGUAACGGCCCACCAAGCCUUCGAUGGAUAGGGGUUCUGAGAGGAAGGUCCCCACAUUGGAACUGAGACACGGUCCAAACUCC
rnacentral:rRNA from 1 species